GAAAGUUGCCCACGUUCCUCUGCAUGCUGUGCGUUCUCCUCCCUUCAGGGGUAUACUGUAAUCUGGUCAAUGUCGAUUGCUUCAUCAAUAAGUGCCAGGCUGCUGACAGACCUGCUGUCAACCCCGACAGUUAACAGAGCAAUGUCUAAUUGAUUAAUUGAUCUUAUUUUUAACCUGUGGGCUACUAGCUUUGGGAGGUGAUUGUACUGUGAUGUUCCCUGGUCAGAGACUGCACUGUUCUUGUGUGGAGGAAUGACAUGAGCCGCAAUUCAACUUCUGCUGGGAUGCUUUGGCUACUAUUCAUACAUGUGAACUCAUUUCAGAAAGCUGGACUUUCUUGUACCUUUGGAAUGACACAUGAAGCAUUGAAUCUGUUUCCACACAGACCAUCAGCAAACCAACCCCAUAAACACAGUCUCUCACUCAAGGUGACAGAGUGCUUUUAAGGAACCAGAUUUUUACUGGUUGAUAGAAUAUUUACCUGUGUCCUUUAUUUUUUUGCUUUGGAGGACAACAUACUGUUUUCUAGUUAACCUUAGAGU